rnacentral:rRNA from 1 species
UACGUAGGGGGCAAGCGUUGUCCGGAUUUAUUGGGCGUAAAGAGCGUGUAGGCGGCCAUGUAGGUCCGUUGUGAAAACUCGAGGCUCAACCUCGAGACGCCGAUGGAAACCAUGUGGCUAGAGUCCGGAAGAGGAGAGUGGAAUUCCUGGUGUAGCGGUGAAAUGCGUAGAUAUCGGGAGGAACACCUGUGGCGAAAGCGG